CCUACGGGGGGCUGCAGUGAGGAAUAUUGGUCAAUGGGCGGAAGCCUGAACCAGCCAAGUAGCGUGCAGGAUGACGGCCCUACGGGUUGUAAACUGCUUUUAUACGGGAAUAACGCGCCUUACGUGUAGGGCUUUGCAUGUACCGUAUGAAUAAGGACCGGCUAAUUCCGUGCCAGCAGCCGCGGUAAUACGGAAGGUCCGGGCGUUAUCCGGAUUUAUUGGGUUUAAAGGGAGCGUAGGCCGCAUGUCAAGCGUGCUGUGAAAUGGCCGGGCUCAACCCGGGCCUUGCAGCGCGAACUGGAGUGCUUGAGUACGAGGAAAGCAGGCGGAAUUCGUCGUGUAGCGGUGAAAUGCGUAGAUAUGACGAAGAACCCCGAUUGCGAAGGCAGCUCACUGGACUGCAACUGACACUGAGGCUCGAAAGUGUGGGUAUCAAACAGGAUUAGAUACCCUGGUAGUC
rnacentral:rRNA from 1 species